rnacentral:rRNA from 1 species
GACGAACCGUGCGAACGUUGUUCGGAAUCACUGGGCUUAAAGGGCGCGUAGGCGGACACUCAAGUCGGUGGUGAAAUCCUCCGGCUCAACCGGAGAAGAGCUGUCGAUACUGGGUGUCUCGAGGGGUGUAGGGGUCUGUGGAACUUUGGGUGGAGCGGUGAAAUGCGUAGAUAUCGGGAGGAACACCAGUGGCGAAGGCGACUACCUGGCCUGUUCUUGACGCUGAGGCGCGAAAGCUAGGGGAGCAAACGGG